rnacentral:lncRNA from 1 species
AGCUUGCAUUCUACCUCAAAAGCAGUUGGGGAAGCCAGAGCCAAGCCCCUCUCCACCUACGUCCUGAAUUUCCCUCAGUCUAAGGCUGGGGGUGAGGCCGAGGACCUCUAAAUCCGCAAACACACCAAAAUACCCACCCAUACGCAUACACACCCACACUCUGUUCCCCCUCUGAAACCUGGAAUCACUCCUGCCUGCCCCACCCAGCUCCACCCACCCUGGCUAGGCAGGUUCUGUAGAGACCUGCUCCGCUGUCUCUCUGGCACCCCCACCCCCAUCCCAGCUCCCAGAAGGUACCUGCCCCCCAACACAGCACACAAAAGCAGACACGUGUGCACAUUCAUGUCCCAUAGCACCCCAUUCCCUAGCCUUCCCCAGACCCAUUCCUAGUCCGUCUUGAAGAGAACACUGGGGGUGGAAAGGCUGCAGGAGAAAAGGUGAGUAAUGCCCCUGGCAUCUGUCCCAGGUGGGGGCCGGCGGGAAGACGGGACACUAAGCUGGUGGGAAGGCAACCAGGGCUUCUGGAUUCUCCAUUUAAUUUUUACCAACAGGCAGGCCCCACAAUUUCCACCACCAGGCUUUGAGCUGCUUCCUCCCUUGGCCUAGGCAGAGAACUGGCCCGUACCUGCCCACCAGAAAACAGGGGAAUUACUCAAGUGCAAGAUUAAAGGCAAUAAUGAGCAAUCAGACCGAACUGGAAUGACAGUAGGGGAAGGUGAAGAGACUUUGGGAAAAGGAAGAGCACUGAAGUCAGACCUGGCACAGCCUUUUACGAGCUAUGUAAUCUCAGCUAACAGGGCAUCUCCUGCAGGAACCUUCCCUGGCACCUCACCCCAGGGCCAAGCACUCUUCCUCUAUGCUCCAGUGGCCUCCUGAACACACCUCCACACAGCACUCAC